rnacentral:rRNA from 1 species
AUUGAACGCUGGCGGAAUGCUUUACACAUGCAAGUCGAACGGCAGCACGGGUGCUUGCACCUGGUGGCGAGUGGCGAACGGGUGAGUAAUGCGUCGGAACGUACCGAGUAAUGGGGGAUAACGCAGCGAAAGUUGUGCUAAUACCGCAUACGCCCUGAGGGGGAAAGUGGGGGACCGCAAGGCCUCACGUUAUUCGAGCGGCCGACGUCUGAUUAGCUAGUUGGUGGGGUAAAGGCCUACCAAGGCGACGAUCAGUAGCGGGUCUGAGAGGAUGAUCCGCCACACUGGGACUGAGACACGGCCCAGACUCCUACGGGAGGCAGCAGUGGGGAAUUUUGGACAAUGGGCGCAAGCCUGAUCCAGCCAUUCCGCGUGAGUGAAGAAGGCCUUCGGGUUGUAAAGCUCUUUCGGCAGGAACGAAACGGCGGGCUCUAACAUAGCCUGUUACUGACGGUACCUGCAGAAGAAGCACCGGCUAACUACGUGCCAACAGCCGCGGUAAUACGUAGGGUGCGAGCGUUAAUCGGAAUUACUGGGCGUAAAGCGUGCGCAGGCGGAUUGUUAAGCAAGACGUGAAAUCCCCGGGCUUAACCUGGGAAUGGCGUUUUGAACUGGCAGUCUAGAGUGCGUCAGAGGGGGGUGGAAUUCCACGUGUAGCAGUGAAAUGCGUAGAGAUGUGGAGGAACACCGAUGGCGAAGGCAGCCCCCUGGGAUGACACUGACGCUCAUGUACGAAAGCGUGGGUAGCAAACAGGAUUA